UCAUCUGCACGUUACAGGUACCAAAAUAACAUUUAGGAGAUUUAUCAUCAAUCUCUUUUGCACAAUUUUCAGCAUCACUUAAGGAUCUGUCUUUAAUUUUCAGGAUCAGGAACUUUUGGUAGAUGAUCAUACGGUUCAAAUGUCCAUGGGUCAACAAUUUUCCUGUUCAGUUUAGGGCAAUGAGUCAGAUGAUUAUAUUUGGAAAAAACACAAUUUUCAUGCCUAGAAUUUCCAGUAUUGUUUGUGUUGAGAUAAGAAUGGUCAUGUGCUACUGGACCACCUCCAUCAGGCAGAGAAUCACUAACAGGUUGAGUCUUAUGCCCUUCUUUGUCAACAUCAUCUAACUUCACCUUCCCACUUGCAGCCCCACUUUUGUUCACUAGGACCUCCUGGCAGGUAUUUAUCUUAUUGAUAUUUUGACAAGCAUCUAUAUCUUCUUCUAGACAAUUUGCUUGUAAAUCAACGCCAUCUUUACUUGUGUUGGACUUGGGUAAACUGGUUCGAACAGAACCAAAAUCCAACUUAAAGACACCAUCACAACCAAGGUAACGUUCAGGUUCUAUGUUACGACGUUUGGAACGCCGUAAGCCCUCUGUGCAAGAAACUGGUGAGAUCUCAUCUUCAGAUGCAUCUUUUGCUUGGUCUAUCUUUUUGUCGUCAGACAGAACGAUAUGAGCAACAAUGGGUACUAACAUCCCAUUGUCUACUCUGAAAUUUACCUGUUUAAGAGAAUUACAGUUCAAUGAAGAGCUUGAACGUUCACAUCCCAAAAUUUGAUAAACAAUCUUGUUUUCUACAGAUCUUACACAGAAAGAGACCUGCUUUAAAGCUGAUGCAACAACCAACCAUGCAAAAUCAGAUAAGAAUUUUCCUGCAAACAAUUUAGUCUUUCGUGCUUCAAAGCAAUCCUCAGAUGAUUCCCACCGAUAAUGCUGAUCUCCACAGGGAUUGCGAUCAAGCUUCUGGAGGAUGGAUAUUUGAUUUAUUCCAACCACUUUACUCUCCUUAUUAAGACUUCUCAUCUCUAGAUCAUAACAACCUUGAUUAACAUAGAGGUUGACAAAAUAUUCACAUGAACACCUAGAUUCGUGGGGCUUUCUCUGCACAGAUCUUAUUCUAGCAUCAACCCACCCCUAUAACAAAUAGAUUUAGUUGGUCAAGUUUAGAAGUCAAGCAACUACAACUCAUAAACCUGAUGAAUAUUACAUAUAAAACUUUUACAAGUGGACCAAGUAACAUGCAAAAAUAACAUAGCAAAAGACAAUAGAUGAUGAGCCUGAUAAUGUUGAAAAUUAAAACCAAUAUCUCUUAUUCCUAGGGUAGAUUAAUCCUGUGCAGAGAUAACAUUUCAAAGGCCGUAAUAAUGAACCUAGCAAUGUGACACAUGUUAACACCAAUGUCUCUCAUUCAUAAACUAGAUGAGUUCAUUUUGGCUAUCAUCUAGAAUGGGGAGAGACUGUAAGAUAAGUGAAUCUUAGACAUUUGCCUCAACAAAUAAGUGAGAAAAAUGCCAAAAUCAAGGAAGAACCGGUGCUUAUCAACUUCAUGAAUACAUCAUUUCCUGCUUUCACCAUUUUCAUUACCAUUCAUGAAGAAAGUUCCAAGAUUUACAACGAAUGAAAUAGUGUGAGUGUUUUGCUGUUAUCCUUGCAAGUCUAAAUGCAACAAAAAGAUAACUUCAUGACUCAGCUAAGAAACCCAUAAAGUUGAAGGACCUCAACUAAAAGGAUUACAAGUUAAAAAGAUCACUUACAGGUUCAAGACAAAUUUUCCCUGAAUUAUCAUCCUGUUGAGAGGCUGAUAGCACACAUACAUCAAUUCCAGGUCUUAGAAAACAGGAGCAAUCUGAUAGAGUAGCUUUCCUUGACCUUAUCCGAAUGUCUGAAUCAGGACCUUUCUUCAAAACUCUAUUUUGGCUAUUGAUAAAAUGCAGUGUUGAAGUUCCCCCCUCAAUUUUUAUGAGCUCCACAGCUUUCCAUGAGCCAGAGAGAAAUGCCUCAAAGGCUGUUAAGAGAAUGUUGAUUAAGAUGAUAUUAUGCAAGAGCUUCUACCAAAGAAUGUGACUAGAAAUGGUAGGAAGAGGAAGGCUUACGUGAGCAUCUACAGGAGAUGACUAGCAGCAGCAAAAAUAGACACAAACUUCUGAAAACAAAGGCUUCAACCAAGUUUGGAGAAACAGGCUAAAUGAUGGCCUACAGGGGACAAAACCCCAAUCAUCAUGGCAUUAAUUAAA